UUUCAGAUUCCCAAGGCAAUGUUGUUGACGAGGUUCUAGCAUUGCCCAUGUUGGCACCGAGAUCUUACACUCGAGAGGAUGUGGUGGAGCUCCAGUGCCAUGGGAGUGAUGUAUGUCUGCAUCGAGUGUUGAGAGCUUGUUUAGAAGCUGGGGCAAGGCUUGCAGAACCAGGUAUAUGGAAUUGCUCAUCCCUUUAGCAGCACAACUAAUUCAGAACAUAACUCCAAAGCAAGGUUCGAAAUCUCGUUUCGUUUCGAUGAGUUC